GGCGACAUGGCCGAGUGGUCUAAGGCGCUAGAAUCAGGUUGCUUGCCUUCUAUCUAGUCAUUCGUGGCGUGGGUUCGAAUCCCACUGUCGUCA
rnacentral:tRNA from 1 species